rnacentral:rRNA from 1 species
GUGACCCCGGUCUAACNNCCNNGAUGUUCAUAACCCUUUGUUGUCCGACUCUGUUGCCUCCGGGGCGACCCUGCCUUCGGGCGGGGGCUCCGGGUGGACACUUCAAACUCUUGCGUAACUUUGCAGUCUGAGUAAACUUAAUUAAUAAAUUAAAACUUUUAACAACGGAUCUCUUGGUUCUGGCAUCGAUGAAGAACGCAGCGAAAUGCGAUAAGUAAUGUGAAUUGCAGAAUUCAGUGAAUCAUCGAAUCUUUGAACGCACAUUGCGCCCCCUGGUAUUCCGGGGGGCAUGCCUGUUCGAGCGUCAUUUCACCACUCAAGCCUCGCUUGGUAUUGGGCAACGCGGUCCGCCGCGUGCCUCAAAUCGACCGGCUGGGUCUUCUGUCCCCUAAGCGUUGUGGAAACUAUUCGCUAAAGGGUGUUCGGGAGGCUACGCCGUAAAACAACCCCAUUUCUAAGGUUGACCUCGGAUCAGGUAGGGAUACCCGCUGAACUUAAGCAUAUCA